rnacentral:tRNA from 1 species
UGGCUCAGUGGUUAAGAGCACUGGUUGCUCUUCCAGAGGACCUGGGUUCAAUCCCCAG